rnacentral:rRNA from 1 species
GGAUAAGCUACGAAGGGCAUACGGAGGAUGCCUUGGCGCCAAAGGCCGAGGAAGGACGUGUACCACUGCGAAAAGCUGCGGGGAGUCGUGGUAAGGCAUUGAGCCGCAGAUAUCCGAAUGGGGAAACCCGCCCUGGGGAAUGCCGGGGCAGCGCGCGGUGAAGAGAUAGCUGCGUAGCGGGGAACUCGGGGAAGUGAAACAUCUAAGUACCCGGAGGAAAAGAGAGGAUUCCGUGAGUAGUGGCGAGCGAAAGCGGAGCAGUCCAAACCGAGCUGGCGCAAGCUGGUUCGGGGUUGCAGGACCGGCGUGAGGGUUGGAGCGGAUAGCGGAACCGCACUGGAAAGGCGGACCGGAGAGGGUGAGAGUCCCGUAGG